rnacentral:rRNA from 1 species
AUAUUGGGCAAUGGGGGAAACCCUGACCCAGCAACGCCGCGUGAAGGAAGAAGGCCUUCGGGUUGUAAACUUCUUUUACCAGGGACGAAGAAAGUGACGGUACCUGGAGAAAAAGCUCCGGCUAACUACGUGCCAGCAGCCGCGGUAAUACGUAGGGAGCGAGCGUUGUCCGGAUUUACUGGGUGUAAAGGGCGUGUAGGCGGAGCUGCAAGUCAGAAGUGAAAUCCCCGGGCUCAACCCGGGAACUGCUUUUGAAACUGUAGCCCUUGAGUAUCGGAGAGGCAGGCGGAAUUCCUAGUGUAGCGGUGAAAUGCGUAGAUAUUAGGAGGAACACCAGUGGCGAAGGCGGCCUGCUGGACGACAACUGACGCUGAGGCGCGAAAGCGUGGGGAGCAAACAGG